AUUGAACGCUGGCGGCAGGCCUAACACAUGCGAGUCGAGCGGAUGAAGGGAGCUUGCUCCUGGAUUCAGCGGCGGACGGGUGAGUAAUGCCUAGGAAUCUGCCUGGUAGUGGGGGAUAACGUCCGGAAACGGGCGCUAAUACCGCAUACGUCCUGAGGGAGAAAGUGGGGGAUCUUCGGACCUCACGCUAUCAGAUGAGCCUAGGUCGGAUUAGCUAGUUGGUGGGGUAAAGGCCUACCAAGGCGACGAUCCGUAACUGGUCUGAGAGGAUGAUCAGUCACACUGGAACUGAGACACGGUCCAGACUCCUACGGGAGGCAGCAGUGGGGAAUAUUGGACAAUGGGCGAAAGCCUGAUCCAGCCAUGCCGCGUGUGUGAAGAAGGUCUUCGGAUUGUAAAGCACUUUUAGUUGGGAGGAAGGGCAGUAAGUUAAUACCUUGCUGUUUUGACGUUACCAACAGAGUAAGCACCGGCUAACUUCGUG
rnacentral:rRNA from 1 species